GGGCAUGGCGCAGCUACACAUGCAGUCGAACGGUAACAGGAAGCAGCUUGCUGCUUCGCUGACGAGUGGCGGACGGGUGAGUAAUGUCUGGGAAACUGCCUGAUGGAGGGGGAUAACUACUGGAAACGGUAGCUAAUACCGCAUAACGUCGCAAGACCAAAGAGGGGGACCUUCGGGCCUCUUGCCAUCGGAUGUGCCCAGAUGGGAUUAGCUAGUAGGUGGGGUAACGGCUCACCUAGGCGACGAUCCCUAGCUGGUCUGAGAGGAUGACCAGCCACACUGGAACUGAGACACGGUCCAGACUCCUACGGGAGGCAGCAGUGGGGAAUAUUGCACAAUGGGCGCAAGCCUGAUGCAGCCAUGCCGCGUGUAUGAAGAAGGCCUUCGGGUUGUAAAGUACUUUCAGCGGGGAGGAAGGCGACAGGGUUAAUAACCCUGUCGAUUGACGUUACCCGCAGAAGAAGCACCGGCUAACUCCGUGCCAGCAGCCGCGGUAAUACGGAGGGUGCAAGCGUUAAUCGGAAUUACUGGGCGUAAAGCGCACGCAGGCGGUCUGUCAAGUCGGAUGUGAAAUCCCCGGGCUCAACCUGGGAACUGCAUUCGAAACUGGCAGGCUAGAGUCUUGUAGAGGGGGGUAGAAUUCCAGGUGUAGCGGUGAAAUGCGUAGAGAUCUGGAGGAAUACCGGUGGCGAAGGCGGCCCCCUGGACAAAGACUGACGCUCAGGUGCGAAAGCGUGGGGAGCAAACAGGAUUAGAUACCCUGGUAGUCCACGCCGUAAACGAUGUCGACUUGGAGGUUGUGCCCUUGAGGCGUGGCUUCCGGAGCUAACGCGUUAAGUCGACCGCCUGGGGAGUACGGCCGCAAGGUUAAAACUCAAAUGAAUUGACGGGGGCCCGCACAAGCGGUGGAGCAUGUGGUUUAAUUCGAUGCAACGCGAAGAACCUUACCUCUCUUGACAUCCGGAGAACUUACCAGAAAUGCUUUGGUGCCUUCGGGAACUCUGAGACAGGUGCUGCAUGGCUGUCGUCAGCUCGUGUUGUGAAAUGUUGGGGUUAAGUCCCGCAACGAGCGCAACCCUUAUCCUUUGUUGCCGGCGGUUAGGCCGGGAACUCAAAGGAAACUGCCAUUGAUAAACUGGAGGAAAGGUGGGGGAUGAAGGUCAGGUCAUCAAGGGCCCUUACGAGUAGGGGCUAACACCCUGGUUACAAUGGCGCCAACAAAAAGAAACCGACUCUCGCGAGACAACCGGGACCCAAAAAGUGCGUCCGUAUUCCCGAAUGGAAGUCGGCAAC
rnacentral:rRNA from 1 species